AUAAUACAAGACAGAACAUGCCAAUAAGAACAUAAAUACAUUGCUCAUAAUCAUUACUCAUAGAUGGCUAAAUAUAGACCAUUGUUCAGUCGUUCCACAGUGUAUAAAAGCUAUUUGUGUAAAAGAACAUAAAUUACAUUGAUAAUGGACGAAGUCAUUAGUCAAAGUAAUGAUGCAUACGGUCUUGGAAGUAAAGUGGAGGAUGAAAAUGUUUAUGAACCUGUACCAACCCGUGGCAACACCCUCCCUCAGGAAGAAGUCAACUCAGCAGCGGUCAAAGAGAGGAAGUUGCGAGUAAAUUGCUAUGCUAUUGUCACCAUCAUUGCUCUAGUGAUGUCUGUCCUUUCUCUGAUAGUGGCUUUGGUAGCAGUGAGUUAUGCUACAAUAGAGUUAAACAACCAGCAAGGUCAACUGGGCAGUUCUAGUCUGGAAAUGGAAUCCCAGAUCAACCAAAUUCGAUUAUCAAAUGAUCAGUGUAAGAUUCAGAUAUCUGAUUUGCAUACUCAUCUGAACAACUCAAAUCAAAUGUUAAACGACUCAAACCAACAGAUUCAAAUUAUCUUCCAAGAUGUUCGAGAAAUUAUAGCAACUGUUUCAGUUAGCUCCUGCAGUGACAUCCCUCAAUACAAACCAUCUGGAGAAUACUGGAUUGCGACUAACGCUACUAGCUCUCCUGUUCAGGUCUACUGUGACAUGGACCGAACAAGUUGUAGCUGCAGCACUACAGGAGGAUGGAUGAGGGUAGCCAACCUCGACAUGACUGACCGUAACCAAAAUUGCCCCGAUGGAUUCAGACUGGUGAACAGGACAACACCACCACUGCGUAUUUGUGGUAGACCUGGACCAACAGGAUGUGUGUCUACUACCUAUCCAACUCAUGGGGUGGAGCACUCUCGAGUUUGUGGGAGAGUGAUUGGUUACCAAGACAAAACUACAGAUGGUUUUGCACCUUAUUACUUCAACAGAACUGUAACUAUUGAUGAUGUUUAUGUUGCUGGUGUGAGCCUAACCCAUGGACAGUUGCCUCGUCAGCACAUCUGGACAUUUGCUAAUGCAAUCAAUGAAGUAAGUUCGAAUCGCUGGGUAUGUCCCUGCACAAGACCUGACCUGGCCUACACUGGAGCUGUACCACCCUUCAUCGGUCAGGACUACUUCUGUGAAACUGCAAGCCGACAGCUCCUGUCAUUGGACAAUGCCUUUAUCUUCUUUCCCGAUGAUCCAGUUUGGGACGGUCAGGGAUGUGAAGGUACCAGCACUUGCUGCGAGUUCAAUAAUCCACCAUGGUUCUGCAAGCAACUCCCUCAGCCGACUACAGACGAUAUUGAGUUGAGGCUCUGUGGUGAUGAAGACACUGAAAAUGAAGACACACCUCUAGAGCUAGUGGAGAUCUACAUUCGCUGAUAUAUACAUACAACUUCAGUAACAAUUCACUGCAAAAACACUUUUGUUAUUGUGACACAGUUUGCUACCGGCACAAAAUGUUAUCUUGACAAAACGUUUGUCAAUUUCCUGCAAUUAUUGUUAUAACGACAAAUCAUAGUUUAUUUAACUAUUAAUAUAGUUUAUCUAACUAUUAAUAUUUGUUAUUAUAAUGGUAGAUUGCUAUUUGAACACAUGUGUUGUCAUUUUGUCGAAGCGUUGUUGAUCUCACAUUUAGUGGAAGUUACCGUUCAUUGUCAAAUUAACAUUAAUGUGUGACAACAACAAAUUAUAAAGUUACAGCUAGAACUCUACUAAAAGAUACGUGCAAGUUUGCAUCACUGAUUUCAACCUACUCAACCUAUACUCGAUUACCCUAGCUCGUAAUAAAUUGUCUAUACUGAAACAUCUCAGUUGCCCUGAUGCUUAAAUCUUUGCAUGCUCAUGUUCAAUUGUGUAUGUAGCAAUUGGAGACUUGUGACUGGGCAUGGUAAGUUACAGUGGCAGUGAAGAAGUCAGGAGCCUCCAGAGUCCUUCAGUGCAGUGCAAUGCAGGCAGCCUUCUCUCUAUAGCCCCCUUCACAAGGCCUGGCCUGAAGAGCGGCCUGGGAUCGAGCUUCUCUCUAGCCUCUAACUCUAGCUAGUCUCGAGGCCAGGAGAGUUUGGCCUCGAGACUAUAAUUAUAAGCUGGAACUAUAGGUGUGGCAUGAGGGGGCGUUCAGGAAUAACAGGGCGGGGCCUCAAACAUACUUAGCACAUGGUACUUGCAGCUGCACCAGACUGCAGCUGCUCAUGCAGCUUUAUACCAUCACUGACUGCAUGCCUGUACCCCUGGCCCUGGGCUACCAUGUUCCAUGUACACCAGCUAGGAUCUAGGAGUCAAGAGUCACCUGCAUCUGCAGCUUGAAAAAAAAGACAAUUGCAAAUUUUCUUAAAGAGUAGAUAGUACCACCAUCUCAAAGAAAAAAGUUAAGUUCCAUUGCAUGCUGUUGGCGCAUGGCAUGUACAUGAUCCCAAAACUCUCUGAAUUCACAGUUUACAAAUCACUGCUAUACCGUAUCGGCGUAUAACUCCACCAUGUACCAGCUUCAAAGAAAAAGGAUUUAAGUUAUGUUGGUCAUUGCUAAAUAAAUGUGUUUACGUGUUUCUUCCAGCUGCAGAUUUUACCAUACCUCGGCCCCACAAUGUGUACCAGCUAGGAGUCUACUUAACCACCUUCAUCGACUUCAAAGAAACGACUUGCAAGUUAUGUCAGAUUCCAUAAAACUAUAUAGCUAGCUAGAGGGAAACUGCCCCUGGCCUGGUUUCGACCUUCAUCUGUAGCAUACUGAUUUACGAGUUUGUGUCUUCAUGUGUCAGUUACACUGGUUUCGACUGGUCAACUUCGUCCAUGGGGUGAUAGCUAGUAUACUGAUUUACUAGUUUGUGUGUAUGUGUCCUCAUGUGUCAGUUACACUGGUUUCGACUGGUCAACUUCGUCCAUGGGGUGAUAGCUAGCAUACUGAUUUAUGAGUUUGUGUGUAUGUGUCCUCACGUGUCAGUUACACUGGUUUCGACUGGUCAACUUCGUCCAUGGGGUGAUAGCUAGCAUUGUAAUUUACCAGUUUGUGUGUAUGUGUCCUCAUGCGUCAGUUACACUGGUUUCGACUGGUCAACUUCGUCCAUGGGGUGAUAGCUAGCAUUGUAAUUUACCAGUUUGUGUGUAUGUGUCCUCAUGUGUCAGUUACACUGGUUUCGACUGGUCAACUUCGUCCAUGGGGUGAUAGCUAGUAUACUGAUUUACUAGUUCGUGUGUAUGUGUCCUCAUGUGUCAGUUACACUGGUUUCGACUGGUCAACUUCGUCCAUGGGGUGAUAGCUAGCAUACUGAUUUAUGAGUUUGUGUGUAUGUGUCCUCACGUGUCAGUUACACUGGUUUCGACUGGUCAACUUCGUCCAUGGGGUGAUAGCUAGCAUUGUAAUUUACCAGUUUGUGUGUAUGUGUCCUCAUGCGUCAGUUACACUGGUUUCGACUGGUCAACUUCGUCCAUGGGGUGAUAGCUAGCAUUGUAAUUUACCAGUUUGUGUGUAUGUGUCCUCAUGUGUCAGUUACACUGGUUUCGACUGGUCAACUUCGUCCAUGGGGUGAUAGCUAGCAUUGUAAUUUACCAGUUUGUGUGUAUGUGUCCUCACGCGUCAGUUACACUGGUUUCGACUGGUCAACUUCGUCCAUGGGGUGAUAGCUAGCAUUGUAAUUUACUAGUUUGUGUGUAUGUGUCCUCACGUGUCAGUUACACUGGUUUCGACUGGUCAACUUCGUCCAUGGGGUGAUAGCUAGCAUACUGAUUUACGAGUUUGUGUGUAUGUGUCCUCACGUGUCAGUUACACUGGUUUCGACUGGUCAACUUCGUCCAUGGGGUGAUAGCUAGCAUACUGAUUUACGAGUUUGUGUGUAUGUGUCCUCAUGUGUCAGUUACACUGGUUUCGACUGGUCAACUUCGUCCAUGGGGUGAUAGCUAGCAUACUGAUUUACGAGUUUGUGUGUAUGUGUCCUCAUGUGUCAGUUACACUGGUCAACUUCGUCUAUGGGGGUGAUAGCUUAUACUAUUUACAUUUUGCACUACAUAUGUGUUGGUAACUAUAGUGACUUCAAUCUUUUGUUCUGUAGGGGCUUAUUGUGACGAAAAUGAUGUGAGGGAUGUAGCGUUCAUGAAACCAAACGAAACGCCUGCAGUUCACUGUACUGGAAUUUCAAGAAACGCUAAGUGAUGAACACUAAAAACAAUUUACUGACAGAAGAAAUUAUUGUGCUGCAUGUCAUGUGAUCCAGUGAUCUUAUUCUAUCAUAAACUCAUUGUUCUAA